CGGAGCGUAGCGCAGUCUGGUAGCGCACCCCGCUGGGGGUGUGGGGGUGGUGGUUUAAAAUCCCGCCGCUCCGACCA
rnacentral:tRNA from 1 species